CAGGGGAAAAGGACUCUGUCGAUAGACUCAGCAAUAGAGAGCUGGCAACCUGGUUAAAGAAAGACCAACAGGAAUCAAUUGAAUAAAGCCGCACGUGAGGGGCGGUCUUUAAUCUGCAAGGAAACUGUGCUGUGCUUCAG